rfam:Bacillus subterraneus strain MITOT1 contig_41, whole genome shotgun sequence.
CGGGGAGUAGCUCAGCUUGGUAGAGCACUUGGUUUGGGACCAAGGGGUCGCAGGUUCGAAUCCUGUCUUCCCGA